rnacentral:rRNA from 1 species
ACGCUCGACACCUACGGAGGCAGCAGUUGGGAAUAUUGGACAAUGGAGGAAACUCUGAUCCAGUGACGCCGCGUGAAGGAAGAAGGUCUUCGGAUUGUAAACUUAUUUUGUCAGGGAAGAAAAAAUGACUGUACCUGAAGAAAAAGCACCGGCUAACUACGUCNCNNNCGCGAUAUGAGCGGCGUGNGAGAG